GACGAACGCUGGCGGCGUGCUUAACACAUGCAAGUCGAGCGGACAGGUCUUGCUUCUUUGGUGUGCUCGUGUGGCGGACGGGUGGGUAACACAUGCGUAACCUGCCCUUGAUUCUGGGGUAGAUUAAGGAAACUAGCGCUAACUCCGGCCAGAUGCUCAUGCUGCCUGGUUGGGGUUGGUCUGUUUCGGCGGUUGGGGUUGGACUCGCGGCUUAUCCGCUUGCGGGUUGGGUAGUGGCUUGCCAAGGCUUUGACCGGUAGCCGGCCUGAGAGGUGUACCGGCGACAUGGGGACUGAGGUACGGCCCAGACUCCUACGGGAGGCAGCGGUGGGGAAUAUUGCACAAUGGGCGGAAGCGUGAUGCAGCAACGCCGCGUGCGGGAUGACGGCCUUCGGGUUGUAAACCGCUUUCGCCGGUAACGAAGCGUGAGUGACGGUAAUGGGUAAAGAAGCACCGGCUAACUACGUG
rnacentral:rRNA from 1 species